rnacentral:rRNA from 1 species
CGCUAUCACUCCUACGGGGAGGCAGCAGUGGGGAAUAUUGCACAAUGGGCGCAAGCCUGAUGCAGCCAUGCCGCGUGUAUGAAGAAGGCCUUCGGGUUGUAAAGUACUUUCAGCAGUGAGGAAGGUGGGUAUGCUUAAUAGCAUACUCAUUUGACGUUAGCUGCAGAAGAAGCACCGGCUAACUCCGUGCCAGCAGCCGCGGUAAUACGGAGGGUGCGAGCGUUAAUCGGAAUUACUGGGCGUAAAGCGCAUGCAGGUGGUUUGUUAAGUCAGAUGUGAAAGCCCGGGGCUCAACCUCGGAAUUGCAUUUGAAACUGGCAAACUAGAGUACUGUAGAGGGGGUAGAAUUUCAGGUGUAGCGGUGAAAUGCGUAGAGAUCUGAAGGAAUACCGGUGGCGAAGGCGGCCCCCUGGACAGAUACUGACACUCAGAUGCGAAAGCGUGGGGAGCAAACAGGAUUAGAUACCCUGGUAG